rnacentral:rRNA from 1 species
CGAACGAGGGGAAGUGAAACAUCUCAGUACCCUCAGGAGAAGAAAUCAAUUGAGAUUCCGCAAGUAGCGGCGAGCGAACGCGGAUUAGCCCAAACCUGCAGGCUUGCUUGCAGGGGUUGUGGGGCCCCGACAUGGGAUUGAGGAGAGAUAGCGGAACGGUAUGGAAAGGCCGACCAGAGACGGUGAUAGUCCGGUAGGCGAAAUCUCGAAUCACCCUAGGGUGUCCCCGAGUACCACGAGGCACGUGAAACCUUGUGGGAAUCUGGGAGGACCAUCUUCCAAGGCUAAAUACUCCCUAGUGACCGAUAGUGAACCAGUACCGUGAGGGAAAGGUGAAAAGAACCCCGGGAGGGGAGUGAAAUAGAAACUGAAACCGUCAGCUUACAAGCAGUUGGAGCAUCCAUGUGAUGUGACAGCGUGCCUUUUGCAUAAUGAGUCAACGACUUACCCUACGCAGCAAGGUUAAGCCGAUAGGUGUAGCCGUAGCGAAAGCGAGUCUUAACAGGGCGUCGAGUUGCGUGGGGUAGACCCGAAGCCGGGUGC